AUUUAUCCGGGAUGGCACCCCGACUUCUGGGCCACGGAAAAGGGGGUUCAGCUGCUCCCGAGCUCUUUGCUUAGCGACGUCGCCCGACUCCUCUGUUGUCCUCAGAAAAGUCCUGCAUGGCACUGCCUGCCAGGGUUGGUCCUCAGUUUUGUCUGGAGGAUACGCAAGCGUCUGGACAACUCCCCACCAUGGAUUUUUGCUCUGUUACUACAGCACUGAGAAAUUUCCACCAGUUUCAAAGAACCAUGAGGAUGCCAACAAUGCCUGUUCUUUAUGAAGAAGUGUGUUGCGGCUGCUCGUUGUACCCACUCAGAAAGACUCCUGGUCUGAGGGGGAAAAAAAGCCAGAGAGACCAC